GUGCCAGCAGCCGCGGUGAUACGUAGGUGGCAAGCGUUGUCCGGAUUUAUUGGGCGUAAAGCGAGCGCAGGCGGUUUCUUAAGUCUGAUGUGAAAGCCCCCGGCUCAACCGGGGAGGGUCAUUGGAAACUGGGAGACUUGAGUGCAGAAGAGGAGAGUGGAAUUCCAUGUGUAGCGGUGAAAUGCGUAGAUAUAUGGAGGAACACCAGUGGCGAAGGCRGYUYUYUGGUCUGUAACUGACGCUGARGCUCGAAAGCGUGGGGAGCAMWYWSKWUUARAUACCCUGGUAGUCCACGCCGUAAACGAUGAUKUKCUWAGUGUUGGAGGGUUUCCGCCCUUCAGUGCUGCAGCUAACGCAUUAAGCACUCACGCCUGGGGAGUACGACCGCAAGGUUGAAACUCAAAGGAAUUGACGGGGGCCCGCACAAGCGGUGGAGCAUGUGGUUUAAUUCGAAGCAACGCGAAGAACCUUACCAGGUCUUGACAUCCUUUGACCACUCUAGAGAUAGAGCUUCCCCUUCGGGGGCAAAGUGACAGUGGGUGCAUGGUUGUCGUCAGCUCGUGUCGUGAGAUGUUGGGUUAAUUCCCCCAACGAGCGCAACCCUUAUUGUUAGUUGCCAUCAUUCAGUUGGGCACUCUAGCAAGACUGCCGGUGACAAACCGGAGGAAGGGGGGGAUGACUCUAAUCUCCUGCCCCCUAUGACCUGGGCUACACCCUUGCUACAAUGGUAAUACAAC
rnacentral:rRNA from 1 species